UUUAGUUAUGAGUCUUCCAGUAGAGGGCUGUUCGAGAGCAUGCGCACAACCGCAGCGAGAGAACCCUAUUCCUCCUGUCACAACAUUGAGGGGCAAAACGACAGCCGUGUUGCUAGUCCUCAAAUAGAUCUGCUGAAGACAUAGAAUGUGAUUGGAAUGGAAACUGGGAGACUGAGUCCCUGAUUGGCCGAAGGACUGGGCAGAAGGAAAUACCAAACGAAUCGAUCCUGUCUCGAAUGAUGCAGGCAGAGGACAGGAAGAAAAUCAAACUGAGUGUGAGUUCCAGCAAAGGCGUGGUGGAGGAAUAUUGUCUGAGAGAGCGACCAAAAGAGGACGCAGCAAAAAUGAAGAACAAAGUGACCAGCACACAAGGUAAACUCUGGAAAUGCUGCUAA
rnacentral:lncRNA from 1 species